UCACUGGCCAACGGUGGGGUCUGAAGGAAGCCAUAGGAAGAUAGAUGUACACAACUAACCGUAACCUGUUUCGGCGACAUAGGUGGGUAAGCGUCCGAAAUAGCGCGAAGCCCAAUACUUAGUCAGACCUAUGCUGUGCUUGAGGGUGGCAUAUCUAUCAGGGAGUCAGU
rfam:Thalassotalea sp. ND16A ctg11, whole genome shotgun sequence.